UCAAAUCCCUUAAACCUGUAGAACAGUUGAAUUCACUCAUUCACCUCACCCUGAGACGGGAUUAUUUGACAUGAUUUAUUUUAAAGGUUGGGUUAAUUACGAUUAAUGUUAAUAUUAAUUAAUUCUCCAGAUUAUCACGCUACAUAUGUACAUAUUUCUCCCCAACGGAAAACAAGCUACACUUAAUUAAUUAAAUCAUAGAAAUCUUCACAGAUAUUUAGUCAAAACUCGACAUGGAAUUCCCCAGAGAAAUUUCUAUACCCCAUGUCGCCCUUAAUUUCCCCGAGAGGUCGACGCAGCCGAUCUCACGCCGCCGCGCCGCCAUACGCCGAUGAUUUUUCCGCGCCGCCGCCGCCGAAAAAAUUGAUUUCCUAUUCCAUUAACAUUGCGACGCCGCGCCGCGCCGCCGACGCCGCCGAAAAAUCACCAAAAACUGGCGCCGCCGCCGAAAAUUUGUCGGCGUCGACCUCUGACUCGAUUUUGAAACCUAUUCCCAUUGCUACUUUUACAAAAUAAAGAUUCUAAUUACAUCCAAAAACAUUGAAAUAGGUUGAUAAAGUUAGGAACGAGCAGUUUGAUUCUCUUAUUUUGGUUAUUGCGUCGUCCUAAAUAUAUUUACACACAGUUAUAUUUUACUCUAUUUUAAUGGAGUAAAUUUGACAAAACCUUAUUUCGAGUGAAUAAACAAAAUUAUUAUUGGUAUUUAUUUUAAGAGUUUCUAAAAACGGUAACAAGAAAAUAGUUGUAAGGAAAGGAAUUUAGGAAAAUUUUGGUGAAAACUUUUUUUCAAACCUAUUGACCCUGAGAUUCUCUAUAUUAUUUCUCUCAAACCUGUUGACCCUAAAAAAAUACUAACAAUUCGAUGGUGUGAUAUAAGAUGGUUAUCGCCGAUAUCCACCGGACUAAUUUUAAAUUGUUCACGCUCAAAAAUAAGUGAACGCAUAUUUUUGCCCUUUCCUAAAUGGGCAUGUUUACGCCCUUGGCGGAGUUUUCAAAAAGAAAUUCAAAAUUCUGAUUUUUAAAAACGCUGGAACUUAUUGAAUUUGAACCUGAUUUAAAAAAAAAAAU